AGCAGCCGCGGUAAUUCCAGCUCCAAUAGCGUAUAUUAAAGUUGUUGCAGUUAAAAAGCUCGUAGUUGAAUUUCGGGAUCAAUAUGUUGGUCGUGCCCUGGUACGUACUGGCGUCAUUGGUUUCUACCUUCUGAAGAACCUCGAUGUCAUUAAUUUGGUGUCUUGGGGAAUCAGGACUGUUACUUUGAAAAAUUGAGUGUUUAAAGCAAGCUCACGCUUGAAUACAUUAGCAUGGAAUAAUGAAAUAGGACGUUUGAUUCUAUUUUGUUGGUUUCUAGGGUCGACGUAAUGAUUAAUAGGGAUAGGUUGGGGCAUUAGUAUUCAAUUGUCAGAGGUGAAAUUCUUGG
rnacentral:rRNA from 1 species